AUUCCAGCUCCAAUAGCGAAUACUAAUUCUGCUGCAGUUAAAAAGCUCGUAGUUGAACUUCUGGUAGGACAGAUCCGGCCUUUGGAUGAAUGUCCAUUGUAUGCUGUGUGUCUUGUCUGGCCAUCCUUUAUGUCUUUUAGGCGUAAUCUUUCACUGUAAAAAAAUUAGGGUGUUUCAAGCAAAAGUUAUUUGGAAUAUAUUAGUAUGGGAUGAUAAGAUAGGCUCUUGAGUGCUACUUUGUUGGUUUCGAACACCGGAGUAAUGAUUAACAGGGACAGUCAGGGGCACUCGUAUUCCGCCGAGAGAGGUGAAAUUCUCAGACCAGCGGAAGACGAACCACUGCGAAAGCAUUUGCCAGGGAUGUUUUCAAUA
rnacentral:rRNA from 1 species